UGGGGAAUAUUGGGCAAUGGGGGAAACCCUGACCCAGCAACGCCGCGUGAAGGAUGAAGUAUUUCGGUAUGUAAACUUCGAAAGAAUAGGAAGAAUAAAUGACGGUACUAUUUAUAAGGUCCGGCUAACUACGUGCCAGCAGCCGCGGUAAUACGUAGGGACCAAGCGUUGUUCGGAUUUACUGGGCGUAAAGCGCACGUAGGCGGCCUGAUAAGUCGGUAGUGAAAGCCCUCGGCUUAACCGAGGAAGUGCUAUCGAAACUGCCAGGCUUGAGUACCGGAGAGGAUCGCGGAAUUCCCGGUGUAGAGGUGAAAUUCGUAGAUAUCGGGAGGAACACCAGUGGCGAAGGCGGCGAUCUGGACGGAUACUGACGCUGAGGUGCGAAAGCGUGGGGAGCAAACAGGAUUAGAUACCCCCGUAGUCCCUGAGCGGGCUGGCAAGGCGCAU
rnacentral:rRNA from 1 species